AGCAGAUUUUUCCAACUCAAUAUGCAGUCUUGAAAACCCUGAACAGAUUAUGGAAUAGUGGUCACCAAAUUCAGAGGUCUGAAAAGCAGUUGCCCUGAUCCCUCAGUCAGUUAUUUUGUUGGACUCCAGCAAGUUGUGACUAAAGCACAGGGCAGUUGAUGAAUGCAGACACAAAAGAAAGAUGAAAACAGACAAAGGAUUGGAGACCCUUUAUUACACUUUCCUCCCCAUCAGAAUCCAUCUCAAUGAUCAUCCAAGGAAAAUAAUAACAGAACAUGGUCUUUGUGGACAGAAAUUCUGGAGCCGCUCCUUCAUUCUCAUGCAGACGUCUCCCCUGCUGCACUGGAAUUCAGCCCAGCCCCGAAGACCUACCUCAGUGGGUCCCUGACAGCUUCACAGCUGGAAGUCUGAGAUCCUUGGCCACCAGCUGUUUCCACUUUUAAGAGAAAAUAACAAACAAGCCAACAAAACAAAACGAAAGAUCAGGUUCUUUAUUUGGCAGUCAUCAGCUGCUUAGAACUGCUGUAUUCACUCCGAAAAAUUUAGAGUAAGUAUCCCACCCCUUUUAAACUGCAAAACAAGCAGCUCAACCUCUUUGGACUCCAAUAUUGCCACGGGGUGAAAGUGCCAAAUAAACAGAUUUUCCUGCAUCCCUCCUUCCUCCCUGCAGUGUAGAGCAUCUUGGGCAGUGUUUGUACCUAGGGAGAAAAGAAAAAAAUGGAGAAUUUUGUACUUUUGAUGCAGGCAAGGGCCCCAUUACUAAUUAAACCACAGCAGCCUGAACACUGAAUGAUCAGCUAGUGGGCACCCCCAGCAGAGUUAGAAGGUUCUGUAGAAAUGGGUAAUGGAGUUUUUGUGCCUCAGAUAGAAUUCUAGAAAUAGCCCUGAUAUCACACCCUACAGCCUCUCUAUUUCAUGUUUAUCAUCCCUCCCUCUACCAAGCUGUCUGGGAAGUUAGAAGAUCUCACAAAUCCUUCCUGCCCCUGUCCUCCAAAUAUUACAAGGGCUGGUGGAGUGGUGGUGGAGCUAAAACCUCUCAAGAUGGCCACUGUAGUCAUGCAUUAGGAUGACUUGGGUUGUAAAUCAUAGGAAAUCCUACUUCAUUUGGCUUAAACAGUAAGAACAGUUAUGAUCUUAUAUAUAACAAGAAGUGCUAGCAUAGGUUGGCUCUAGGCUGGCUCGAUAAAGCAACUCAAGAACAAUAUGACCUUGGUUCAUUCCUCGUUCCACUGUGCCAAUACAUUUCAGCAUAUUGUCCUUUUCCUCAAUCAGCUCCUCCUCAAACUUGCAAGAUGACUUCCAAAACUACAAACAUUAUAGGCACACAACAAUGUCCAGUCACUUGAAAGGGCUGUUGAUUAUCAUUCGUCUUUUUUUAAGAAGGAUUCCUGUGCUAGAAAACUCUCAUCUAUAUCUAUAUCUAUAUCUGUAUCCCAUCAGAUCUCCUCUUGAUUCUCAUUGGCUGGGUCACAUUGCCAACCUAUCCCCCAUUACUGGCUGGGAAAACGGGAUUACAGUGAUUGACAUUGAUGAAUCAGGAUUGGGGGAGCAGGGUGGGAGGACAUAGAAAUCUGAGUGAAAUCAGGGAUUUGUGAACAAAGAACAGUAAAUAGCUGUUGGGUGUGUAACCAGCAUACCUGGCUCAGCUUCAAAAGCCAAUAGCUUCCUGAGUGCUAUUUAUCAAGCACUCCAUGAAAUAAUAAAAGUAAGAGGGGGAUAAAAGUUAGAAAUGCUUUCUUACUCACCUUCUCUCAUUCCAGUGCUCAAAAUUUCAGAUGUAAGAAUAUGUAGAAUGAUCAAGACUAGAACAAAAACACACACAUAUUCCUCAUUUCUAGAGUUUUUUUUUCACACAGACAUUAUUUUGGUGAGAUUAUUUUAUUUUCCAGAUUUGUUUCCCUUCAAAGUUUCUACAAAAGCCAUAUGCUCCUUUUCCACUGAGUAACUCUGGUUACUGUAUGGAUGGGAGCCUCCAAGAUAUUCUCAACUGGUAUGUUGUGAAUCUGGCUCAGAGGAGGGAUUCUCCUACGUCAUUGAGGUUCACAGACUUCACAUCCUUUUCCUCUAAGUGGUCUUUUGCUGGACAAACAUUUCAGGACAGGACACAGUGUUGACACAGCCCACAGCCUGUUCUCAUAGUGAUGGGAGACAAAUACACCUGGAAUUGGAACGCUGAUCAAUAUCAGAGUUUCAAAUAAAAAAAUACCAUAGUUUAUAUAUCCUAUGUGGAACUGUCUGGAUGGUUUUUCUUGAGUACCAAGGCCAUGAAGAAUUUCUUGUGUCUGUUUCACUAUACAAUGAUUAUAUUUUCUACUUCAUGGUAUUGUUUUAGAAAUAAUUUCUAGAAAUGGUGAAUGUGAUGGUUCAUUUAUGUGUCAACUUGACUGUACUAAGGGAUGCCCAGAGCAGGUAAAAUGUUAUGUCUGGGCAUGUGUGGGGGGUUGUUUCUGGAAGAGAUUAGCAUUUGAAUCAGUAGACUGAGUAAGGAAGAUAAUCCUCACCAAAGCCAGCAGACAUCAUCCAGUCUGUUGAGGGGCUAAAUAGAGCAAAAAGGUAGAAGAAAGGGCAAUUUGCUUUCUUUACUUGAGUUGCAACUUUGAUCUUCUCUGGUUCUCUGAUGGGUUCUUGGGCCUUCAGACUCUGACUGGGACUCACACCAUCAUUGCCCUGACUCUCAGGCCUUUUGAUAAGGAAUGAAUUAUACCACUGGCUUUCCUGUUCUCCAGCUUGCACACAACAGAUUGUGGGAAUUCCUGGCCUCCAUAACUGUGUGAGCCAAUU